UACGUAGGGUGCAAGCGUUAAUCGGAAUUACUGGGCGUAAAGCGUGCGCAGGCGGUUAUGUAAGACAGAUGUGAAAUGCCCGGGCUUAACCUGGGAACUGCAUUUGUGACUGCAUGGCUAGAGUUUGGCAGAGGGGGGUAGAAUUCCACGUGUAGCAGUGAAAUGCGUAGAUAUGUGGAGGAACACCGAUGGCGAAGGCAGCCCCCUGGGUCGAGACUGACGCUCAUGCACGAAAGCGUGGGUAGCAAACAGG
rnacentral:rRNA from 1 species